AGCCCAGAGCCUGAAUCAGUGUGUGUGUUAGUGGAAGCGUCUGGAAAGGCGCGCGAUACAGGGUGACAGCCCCGUACACAAAAAUGCACAUGCUGUGAGCUCGAUGAGUAGGGCGGGACACGUGGUAUCCUGUCUGAAUAUGGGGGGACCAUCCUCCAAGGCUAAAUACUCCUGACUGACCGAUAGUGAACCAGUACCGUGAGGGAAAGGCGAAAAGAACCCCGGCGAGGGGAGUGAAAAAGAACCUGAAACCGUGUACGUACAAGCAGUGGGAGCACGCUUAGGCGUGUGACUGCGUACCUUUUGUAUAAUGGGUCAGCGACUUAUAUUCUGUAGCAAGGUUAACCGAAUAGGGGAGCCGAAGGGAAACCGAGUCUUAACUGGGCGUUAAGUUGCAGGGUAUAGACCCGAAACCCGGUGAUCUAGCCAUGGGCAGGUUGAAGGUUGGGUAACACUAACUGGAGGACCGAACCGACUAAUGUUGAAAAAUUAGCGGAUGACUUGUGGCUGGGGGUGAAAGGCCAAUCAAACCGGGAGAUAGCUGGUUCUCCCCGAAAGCUAUUUAGGUAGCGCCUCGUGAAUUCAUCUCCGGGGGUAGAGCACUGUUUCGG
rnacentral:rRNA from 1 species